rnacentral:rRNA from 1 species
GGUUAAGCGAAUAAGCGUACACGGUGGAUGCCUAGGCAAUCAGAGGCGAUGAAGGACGUGCUAAUCUGCGAAAAGCGUCGGUAAGGUGAUAUGAACCGUUAUACCCGACGAUAUCCGAAUGGGGAAACCCAGUAUCCAAUGGAUACUAUCAUUAACUGAAUCCAUAGGUUAAUGAGGCGAACCGGGAGAACUGAAACAUCUCAGUACCCCGAGGAAAAGAAAUCAACCGAGAUUCCCCUAGUAGCGGCGAGCGAACGGGGAGCAGCCCAGAGUCUUAAUCAAUAGCAGUGUCAGGAGAACGGUCUGGAAAGUCCGGCAGUAAAGGGUGAUAGCCCCGUAUCUGAAGAUGCUGUUAUUGUGAACUCGACGAGUAGGGCGGGACACGUGUUAUCCUGUCUGAAUAUGGGGGGACCAUCCUCCAAGGCUAAAUACUCCUGAUUGACCGAUAGUGAACCAGUACCGUGAGGGAAAGGCGAAAAGAACCCCGGCGAGGGGAGUGAAAAAGAACCUGAAACCGUGUACGUACAAGCAGUAGGAGCCUCUUUAUGGGGUGACUGCGUACCUUUUGUAUAAUGGGUCAGCGACUUAUAUUCUGUAGCGAGGUUAACCGUAUAGGGGAGCCGUAGGGAAACCGAGUCUUAACUGGGCGAAUGAGUUGCAGGGUAUAGACCCGAAACCCGGUGAUCUAUCCAUGGGCAGGUUGAAGGUUGGGUAACACUAACUGGAGGACCGAACCGACUAAUGUUGAAAAAUUAGCGGAUGACUUGUGGAUGGGGGUGAAAGGCCAAUCAAACCGGGAGAUAGCUGGUUCUCCCCGAAAGCUAUUUAGGUAGCGCCUCGUGAACUCAUCUUCGGGGGUAGAGCACUGUUUCGACUAGGGGGUCAUCCCGACUUACCAACUCGAUGCAAACUGCGAAUACCGAAGAAUGUUAUCACGGGAGACACACGGCGGGUGCUAACGUCCGUCGUGAAGAGGGAAACAACCCAGACCGCCAGCUAAGGUCCCAAAGUCAUGGUUAAGUGGGAAACGAAGUGGGAAGGCUCAGACAGCCAGGAUGUUGGCUUAGAAGCAGCCAUCAUUUAAAGAAAGCGUAAUAGCUCACUGGUCGAGUCGGCCCGCGCGGAAGAUGUAACGGGGCUAAACCAUGCACCGAAGCUGCGGCAGCGACACAAAGUGUUGUUGGGUAGGGGAGCGUUCUGUAAGCCUGCGAAGGUGUACUGUGAGGUAUGCUGGAGGUAUCAGAAGUGCGAAUGCUGACAUAAGUAACGAUAAUGCGGGUGAAAAACCCGCACGCCGGAAGACCAAGGGUUCCUGUCCAACGUUAAUCGGGGCAGGGUGAGUCGACCCCUAAGGCGAGGCUGAAAAGCGUAGUCGAUGGGAAACGGGUUAAUAUUCCCGUACUGGUGGUAACUGCGAUGGGGGAACGGAGAAGGCUAGGUUGUCCGGGCGACGGUCGUCCCGGUUCAAGCAGGUAGGCAGAGUGAUUAGGCAAAUCCGGUCACUUAAUGCUGAGAUGUGAUGACGAACCACCAAGGUGGUGAAGCAAUUGAUGCCCCGCUUCCAGGAAAAGCCUCUAAGCUUCAGGUUACCAACAAUCGUACCCCAAACCGACACAGGUGGUCAGGUAGAGAAUACUCAGGCGCUUGAGAGAACUCGGGUGAAGGAACUAGGCAAAAUGGUGCCGUAACUUCGGGAGAAGGCACGCUGGCGGUAGGUAAAGUCCCUUGCGGACGGCGCUGAAGCCAGUCGAAGAUACCAGCUGGCUGCAACUGUUUAUUAAAAACACAGCACUGUGCAAACACGAAAGUGGACGUAUACGGUGUGACGCCUGCCCGGUGCUGGAAGGUUAAUUGAUGGGGUCAGCCGUAAGGCGAAGCUCCUGAUCGAAGCCCCAGUAAACGGCGGCCGUAACUAUAACGGUCCUAAGGUAGCGAAAUUCCUUGUCGGGUAAGUUCCGACCUGCACGAAUGGCGUAAUGAUGGCCAGGCUGUCUCCACCCGAGACUCAGUGAAAUUGAACUCGCUGUGAAGAUGCAGUGUACCCGCGGCAAGACGGAAAGACCCCGUGAACCUUUACUAUAGCUUGACACUGAACAUUGAGCCUUGAUGUGUAGGAUAGGUGGGAGGCUUUGAAGUGUGGACGCCAGUCUGCAUGGAGCCAACCUUGAAAUACCACCCUUUAACGUUUGAUGUUCUAACCUAGGCCCAUAAACUGGGUCGGGGACCGUGUCUGGUGGGUAGUUUGACUGGGGCGGUCUCCUCCUAAAGAGUAACGGAGGAGCACGAAGGUUGGCUAAGCAUGGUCGGACAUCAUGCGGUUAGUGCAAAGGCAUAAGCCAGCUUGACUGCGAGAGUGACGGCUCGAGCAGGUACGAAAGUAGGUCUUAGUGAUCCGGUGGUUCUGAAUGGAAGGGCCAUCGCUCAACGGAUAAAAGGUACUCCGGGGAUAACAGGCUGAUACCGCCCAAGAGUUCAUAUCGACGGCGGUGUUUGGCACCUCGAUGUCGGCUCAUCACAUCCUGGGGCUGAAGUAGGUCCCAAGGGUAUGGCUGUUCGCCAUUUAAAGUGGUACGCGAGCUGGGUUUAGAACGUCGUGAGACAGUUCGGUCCCUAUCUGCCGUGGGCGUUGGAAGAUUGAGAGGGGUUGCUCCUAGUACGAGAGGACCGGAGUGAACGCACCACUGGUGUUCGGGUUGUCAUGCCAAUGGCAUUGCCCGGUAGCUAAGUGCGGAAGAGAUAACCGCUGAAAGCAUCUAAGCGGGAAACUUGCCUCGAGAUGAGUCUUCCCUGUCGCUUUAAGCGACCUAAAGGAACGUUUAAGACUAAGACGUUGAUAGGCUGGGUGUGUAAGCGUAGUGAUACGUUGAGCUAACCAGUACUAAUGAACCGUGAGGCUUAACCUG